rnacentral:rRNA from 1 species
UACGUAGGGGGCAAGCGUUAUCCGGAUUUACUGGGUGUAAAGGGGGCGCAGACGGCGAUGCAAGCCAGGAGUGAAAGCCCGGGGCCCAACCCCGGGACUGCUCUUGGAACUGCGUGGCUGGAGUGCAGGAGGGGCAGGCGGAAUUCCUAGUGUAGCGGUGAAAUGCGUAGAUAUUAGGAGGAACACCAGUGGCGAAGGCGGCUUACUGGACUGUAACUGACGUUGAGGCUCGAAAGCGUGGGGAGCAAACAGG